AGUGAACGCUGGCGGCAGGCCUAACACAUGCAAGUCGAGCGGAAGCGCGGGGGCAACCCUGGCGGCGAGCGGCGGACGGGUGAGGAAUUCGUCGGUGUCUGACCUUUCGUGGGGGAUAGCGUAGGGUAAGGUACCCUAAUAUAGCAUCCGACCUUCGGGUGAAAGGGGGGGUUCGCAAGGGCUAGAGCAGAUUGCUGAGCCGACGACACAUAAGCUAGUUGGUGGGGUAAGGGCCCACCAAGGCGACGAUCGAUAGCUGGUCUGAGAGGCUGAUCAGCCACACUGGAACUGAGACACGGCCCAGACUCCUACGGGAGGCAGCAGUGGGGAAUAUUGGGCAAUGGGCGCAAGCCUGACCCAGCCAUGCCGCGUGUGUGAAGAAGGCCUUCGGGUUGUAAAGCACUUUUGUCCGGAAAGAAAACCCGGGUACUAAUCCCUGCACGGGAUGACGGUACCGGAAGAAUAAGCACCGGCUAACUUCGUG
rnacentral:rRNA from 1 species